rnacentral:rRNA from 1 species
GACGAACGUUGGCGGCGUGCUUAAUACAUGCAAGUCAACCGAAGCAGUGGUAGCAAUAUCGCUGUGGAGGUGGCGCACGGGGGAGUAACACGUAGGUAAUCUGCCUUCAGGUCUGGCAUAACUCCGGGAAACCGGGGCUAAUAGCAGAUGAUGCAGCGGCUCGACAUCGAGACAGUUGUUAAAGCUAUGGCGCCUGAAGAGGAGCCUGCGUCUGAUUAGCUAGUUGGCGGGGUAACGGCCCACCAAGGCAACGAUCAGUAGCUGGUCUGAGAGGAUGAUCAGCCACACUGGAACUGAGACACGGUCCAGACUCCUACGGGAGGCAGCAGUAAGGAAUAUUGCUCAAUGGGAGAAAUCCUGAAGCAGCAACGCCGCGUGAGGGACGAAGGGCUUUUGCUUGUAAACCUCUGUAGUGAGAGAAAAAAAUCCCAAUCUUUGGGACAUGAUGGUAUCUCAAAAGUAAGCCCCGGCUAACUACGUG